AAGAGCGGGUAUAGUCCCCUUCCUUUUGUGGAUGAGGUCCCCAUAAGGACGAACCUUGAGCCAGCAGAGUAUGUUUUGAAUUUGUGUGAGUGUGUCCCGUCCUGGAUGAGAUCCACAUUUUUGUAGGAAUGCGAAUGUGAAGUGUCACUGGUGCUGAAUUCCCUGAAAGUACAACUUAUUGUCCUCAGAAUCAGAAUCCUAGGUGGGGAACUGGACCAAAACAUAGUUUUGGCUUCCUGCUCUCCAGUGGACAAUAGGUGCUCAUGUGGGGCACUUUCCGCGACGAAGCACAAAAUACCUAUCACACAGAACAAGUGUCCUUUGUGGUCAGGUAUGUGCACAACAUUGCAGAUUAAGGAGCGAUUUAUCCAGGUGUGCAACAUUCAGUCCACAAGCAGAGAAGCCAUUGAAAAUCUGGCUCUGGACGUACUUAAGAAAAACGACCUAAAAAUGGAUAACAUCAGCGGCCAGGGAUACGAUGGAGCAGCAAACAUGAGAGGACACUACAAGAGACUUCAGGCAAGAAUUCCCAGGCACAAUCCCAAGGCUCUGUAUGUCCACUGUCAGGCACACUGUCUUAAUUUGGUGUUAGUUGAAAGUGCCAAGUCAAAUAUAUGUUUUGUCACAUUUUUCAACUUGGUUGAAAAACUUUACACAUUCAUUGGAAACUCAUCAAAAAGACAUGCUGCAUUUGUUGACGUUCAGAAAGGAAUGCAACCACAUCAGCGCCCAGUUGAACUGCAAAAGUUGUCUGACACUCGAUGGGCCUGCCGAGAAAGAGCCCUGAAGUCUCUCAGGAAAGUUCUUCCAGCUGUUAUGAAACUCUUAGAGAAUGUGACUCAGCAAAACCCCCCUGAUUAAUCAGCAGGUGACUCAGCAAUCCUUUUGAAGAACAUCAAUUUUAAAUUCUUCUUAUGUCUGGAAAUUAUUUGCCCCAUCUUCCAAGUAACUGCAGUUGCACCAGAUGUGUUACAGCAGAAAGAUAUGGACCUGGCUGCAGCCUACAAAACUGUUGAAGGGGUUCUGCAGACACUGGAGUGUUGCAGAUCAGAAGAAGAAUUUGAGGAAAUGUAUAGGAAAGCCACAGAAAAGAGGCGGCAUCUGUGGGGCUCAAACGCCCUGAAGAAGUCAGUGGACACAGAAGGAAGAGGAGAGUGCCAGCAUAGUUUUCCGCGGUUGGUACAGGUGCUUCUGAUGACCAUGUCUUCUGUACCUUGAAGGAGUCCCACCGUGCACAGGUAUAUUAUGUUUUUGUUGACUCCAUUACACAAGAGCUUCAGAAACGUUUUAAGGGAGGAGGUAAUGCUCCCUGGAAAAUAUUAAAUGCCCUCCACUGCCUUCCUGUCCCAGAAAACUAUUAGACAUACUUAUUAAGUACAUCUAAUUGUGAUGUUCACAUUGUACUGUUUUCUGUUUGAGCCAAUCCUAGUCACGUCCCUCGUUUCCGUUAUUCCUCGCACCUGCUUUGCUUCCUGAUUGUCUCCCUUCUUAAGCCUCUCAGUCGCAACCACACUGCCAGAUUAUCGAACGCUUUCAGCAAGUAGUUUUCCAGCACUUUUACCUCGCCCUCAUAGCCACGACCACGCUUUGUUCCUCGGACCUGCCCCUUUUGCCUUGCCCUUGUCGGACUAUUACUAUCGCCCUUCUGGAUCUCGACCCACGCCUGUUUCAGUUACACCGCUCUCGCCCACUCCCACGGAUUCUACCCUUAGCCCCGAUCGUGCAUGACCUCGGCCCGUCUGACUAAGGAUUCGGAUCUGGAUUUGGUUCUUCUGCUGCCUAACUAGUUUGUACGCUGCCCUGCAUCAGCGCUUCUCUCCCCAGGCUCUUCCUGCCGAGCUCUGCGUCAGCGCAGCAUCUGCGCUCCUCCUGGUUCCUCAGCCGAUCACUUCAGUUACUGAUCGCCAAGCCAGUGCUGCAGCGGACGAUCCUGCGUGCCCGGUUUAAGCUGCCUUUUAAUAAAUAUCAGAGUUUUCUGCUCA